ACGGUCCUAAGGUAGCGAAAUUCCUUGUCGGGUAAGUUCCGACCUGCACGAAUGGCAUAAUGAUGGCCAGGCUGUCUCCACCCGAGACUCAGUGAAAUUGAAAUCGCCGUGAAGAUGCGGUGUACCCGCGGCUAGACGGAAAGACCCCGUGAACCUUUACUAUAGCUUGACACUGAACAUUGAAUUUUGAUGUGUAGGAUAGGUGGGAGACUUUGAAGUAGUCACGCCAGUGAUUAUGGAGUCGUCCUUGAAAUACCACCCUUUAACGUUUGAUGUUCUAACGAAGAUUACGAAACGUGGUCUCGGACAGUGUCUGGUGGGUAGUUUGACUGGGGCGGUCUCCUCCCAAAGAGUAACGGAGGAGCACGAAGGUUUGCUAAUGACGGUCGGACAUCGUCAGGUUAGUGCAAUGGUAUAAGCAAGCUUAACUGCGAGACAGACAAGUCGAGCAGGUACGAAAGUAGGUCAUAGUGAUCCGGUGGUUCUGAAUGGAAGGGCCAUCGCUCAACGGAUAAAAGGUACUCCGGGGAUAACAGGCUGAUACCGCCCAAGAGUUCAUAUCGACGGCGGUGUUUGGCACCUCGAUGUCGGCUCAUCUCAUCCUGGGGCUGUAGUCGGUCCCAAGGGUAUGGCUGUUCGCCAUUUAAAGAGGUACGUGAGCUGGGUUUAAAACGUCGUGAGACAGUUUGGUCCCUAUCUGCCGUGGGCGUUGGAAGAUUGACGGGGGCUGCUCCUAGUACGAGAGGACCGGAGUGGACGCACCUCUGGUGUACCGGUUGUCACGCCAGUGGCAUUGCCGGGUAGCUAAGUGCGGAAGAGAUAACCGCUGAAAGCAUCUAAGCGGGAAACUUGCCUGAAGAUGAGUCUUCCCGGAGGUAAAACCUCCCUCAAGAGUCGUCCGAGACCAGGACGUCGAUAGGUCAGGUGUGUAAGCGCUGUGAGGCGUUGAGCUAACUGAUACUAAUUGCUCGUGAGGCUUGAUCCU
rnacentral:rRNA from 1 species